ensembl:lncRNA
CGGGGCGAGACAGGGUGAGGUUGUGUGAGGCGGGGUGAGGCGAGGUGCGGUGGGACGGGGCGGGGAGAGGUUGGAUGAGGCGGGACGGGGCUAGGCGAGGUGGGGCGAGGUUAGGUGUGGCAGGGUGAGGCGGGGCACGUCAGGGCGCGUUGGGGUGAGGCGAGUUGUGGCAGGCAUAGCGGGGCGGGACGAGGGGAAGCAAGGCGGGGCGAGGCGAAGGGAGGCAGGGUGGGGCGUGGCAUGGCAGGCGAGGCAGGGCAAGGCGAGGGGAAGCGAGACGGGGCGAGGCGAG